rnacentral:lncRNA from 1 species
GUAAACCUGAAUUUUUUUGGCAGGUUUUUACUUUGUAUAAAAAAUUUAUUUCCGGAGUUGUGUGAGACUGAGAGAAAGCGUGUGCAAGGGGUUCUCGUUUCUUCGUUCUUUGUAUUUCUUGAGAUUAGCAUUACCUAAAAUGUAUUCACAUAUUUUUUCCUUCCCUAUUUUUUAUUGCUGUUGGUUUGUUUUGCAGUUUUUAUUUGUUUUACUUUUUUUGUAGGGG